AACGAACGCUGGCGGCAUGCCUAACACAUGCAAGUCGAAAGAGACCUUCGGGUCUAGUUGCGCACGGGUGCGUAACGCGUGGGAACCUGCCCUUAGGUUCGGAAUAACUCCCCGAAAGGGGUGCUAAUACCGGAUAAUGUCUUCGGACCAAAGAUUUAUCGCCUUUGGAUGGGCCCGCGUUGGAUUAGCUAGUUGGUAGGGUAAAAGCCUACCAAGGCGACGAUCCAUAGCUGGUCUGAGAGGAUGAUCAGCCACACUGGGACUGAGACACGGCCCAGACUCCUACGGGAGGCAGCAGUGGGGAAUAUUGGACAAUGGGCGAAAGCCUGAUCCAGCAAUGCCGCGUGAGUGAUGAAGGCCUUAGGGUUGUAAAGCUCUUUUACCCGGGAUGAUAAUGACAGUACCGGGAGAAUAAGCGCCGGCUAACUCCGUG
rnacentral:rRNA from 1 species